CUGUCUAUCAUGACAUUUAUUUAGAUGUCAACCACAUGGAAUCAUUCAUAGUAUUCAACAAAAUGAUCAGAACACAAUAUUUAUCAACAUCUUAACUGAAGAAGAACAGUUAUGACCAAUUGACAUAUAUUUCCAGCCAUUGUUAUAUUACCUUUGUGAAAUACAUCCUGUUGAUAUAUUUGACAUUCCAAAAAGGGACCCAUACCAGCAGCACAUCCAUGUUUACCUUUAUGUAAGAGGAGCCUCCCCCUCAUGUUUGUACUUUCCAAUAUUUUUAAUAAUUCCAGUUAUCCUUUUUAUAGAUAAUUUGUUUACUGAAUAAAAUUGGUUAGGAUGAUUCAAAGUAGAUCAAUUUGCUGUUACAAUGUAUCAAUAAUAAGGAAUGGGAAUAUUUUUAUACAUGUAUAUCGGUAUCAUAUUUUUUUGAAAAUUUAUUAUGUUUAUACAUCUGCAAUUUUUUCACUGCUGACUAUUUAUUUUUAACUAACUUUGUCAUAAUAAGCAGGGAAUGCAUAUGAAAAACAUGUAUUUUUAUACAUAAAACUCAAUAUAUCUGUGAUAUUUACAAUGUACUAUUACUUUAUUUUCUUGUUGAAUUGUUAGAUUGGUAUUUAUGAUAUACCUUGUAUUUAUUUUUUGAUAAAUGUUUGUUUUAAUGAUGCCUUUACCUUUUACAACAAUAAAAGCUGAGCGGAAAAUUUAUUUUCUUAUUUUUUUUUUACAUUAUUUGCAUUUAAUAGGUAGUUCAUCUGAGACUUGAUGGAAAUUUGAGGUUUCCAAAAUUUUGCAUUGACC
rnacentral:lncRNA from 1 species